GAUUUCAACUGAAAAAGUCAUCAACAAUAAAGUUGUAUAACUCAUCAAUAUAUAUAAAUUUUAUUUUGGCCAUUUCUUCAUCCGAUAAAGUGAUAGUAUCAUUGUUCACAAAAUUUACAUAUAUCUCCUAUAGUUUAUAAACUAUAUAAGAGAUAUAUACAUUUUGUGAAAAAUGUUAUAAAUCACUUUAUCGGAUGAAGAAAUGACCCAAAUAAAAGUUAUAGAUAUUGAUGAGUUAUACCACUUUGUUAUUGAUGACUUUUUCAGUUAAAAUC
rnacentral:pre_miRNA from 1 species